UACGGAGGGUGCAAGCGUUAUCCGGAUUCACUGGGUUUAAAGGGUGCGUAGGCGGGUAUAUAAGUCAGUGGUGAAAGCUCCGGGCUUAACUUGGAAACUGCCAUUGAUACUGUAUAUCUUGAAUGUCGUUGAGGUUAGCGGAAUGUUGCAUGUAGCGGUGAAAUGCUUAGAUAUGACAUAGAACACCAAUUGCGAAGGCAGCUCACUACACAAUGAUUGACGCUGAGGCACGAAAGCGUGGGGAUCAAACAGG
rnacentral:rRNA from 1 species